GACGAACGGCUGGCGGCGUGCCUAACACAUGCAAGUCGAGCGAGGAGAGUUCCUUCGGGAACAAACCUAGCGGCGGACGGGUGAGUAACACGUGGGCAACCUGCCUUGUAGAGGGGAAUAGCCUUCCGAAAGGAAGAUUAAUACCGCAUAACAUUACAGUUUCGCAUGAAACAGUAAUUAAAGGAGCAAUCCGCUACAAGAUGGGCCCGCGGCGCAUUAGCUAGUUGGUGAGGUAACGGCUCACCAAGGCGACGAUGCAUAGCCGACCUGAGAGGGUGAUCGGCCACAUUGGGACUGAGACACGGCCCAGACUCCUACGGGAGGCAGCAGUGGGGAAUAUUGCACAAUGGGGGAAACCCUGAUGCAGCAACGCCGCGUGAGUGAUGAAGGUUUUCGGAUCGUAAAGCUCUGUCUUCGGGGACGAUAAUGACGGUACCCGAGGAGGAAGCCACGGCUAACUACGUG
rnacentral:rRNA from 1 species